rnacentral:rRNA from 1 species
GUGCUUGGGCGAGAGUAGUACUAGGUUGGGUGACCCCCUGGGAAGUCCUCGUGUUGCACCCC